rnacentral:lncRNA from 1 species
CCCAUUUCCUAUGUCCAGUGAAUAUUUACUCCUCAAUCAUUUCUUUAGUCUUGAGACAAAGUGCAAGGAGAAAAUUCUGCUCUCAUUGAAAACUUAAUGCUCAGGUGGAAGACACUGCCCUUUUAUGUUCCACUAUACAGAUGGAAGGGCAGCAGUCUACCAGUGUAGCUCUGAUUCUCUUUGCUACCCAAGACAAAACUUCAAGAGGUCUGAACUAAUGAAGACACCCAAGCCAGUAGCAUUUCUAGCACUCCUUGAAAACUGAGACUUCACAUGCAAAAAAUACUACUCAAUUUGGACAAAGUUAAGACAUUAUUUAUGCUCUCCAAAGAGUCAAUUUUGGGGUUCAUCUCCAGUAAUGCCUUUUGGUCUUUGGAAUGGUAAAUAAAUCCACUGC